rnacentral:rRNA from 1 species
AUACGGAGGGUGCGAGCGUUAAUCGGAAUUACUGGGCGUAAAGCGUACGUAGGCGGUUGGUUAAGUUAGAUGUGAAAGCCCCGGGCUUAACCUGGGAACUGCAUUUAAAACUGGCGAACUAGAGUUGAGUAGAGGGGAGUGGAAUUUCAGGUGUAGCGGUGAAAUGCGUAGAGAUCUGAAGGAACACCAGUGGCGAAGGCGACUCCCUGGACGCGAACUGACGCUGAGGUACGAAAGCGUGGGUAGCAAACGGAAUUAGAAACCCUAGUAGUCC